UACGUAGGGACCAAGCGUUGUUCGGAUUUACUGGGCGUAAAGGGCGCGUAGGCGGCAUGGCAAGUCACUUGUGAAAUCUCCGGGCUUAACUCGGAACGGCCAAGUGAAACUGCCACGCUAGAGUGCAGAAGGGGCAAUCGGAAUUCUUGGUGUAGCGGUGAAAUGCGUAGAUAUCAAGAGGAACACCUGAGGUGAAGACGGGUUGCUGGGCUGACACUGACACUGAGGCGCGAAAGCCAGGGGAGCAAACGGG
rnacentral:rRNA from 1 species